rnacentral:lncRNA from 1 species
GCCAUCAUAACAGCUGUGAAACAAUGCAUCACCUCUGCUAGUGCAGACUUUUAGGAGCUCAGUGUGCAGGCUCUUCUUCAUCAACAAUGAAAAUGCACAGGUAAUGGUGUUGAAAAACAGUAGCUUUUGUUUUGUAGCUGAGAAUUAGCUCUCUCAAACCGUGAUAUUACGUUCUUUGUAUCUGUUAUAGUUUCCAUGGAAAUUAAUAGGAGGUAUUACUUCCAGAGCAACCUAAGUAGUACUGAAUACAGUACUCUUUUUUCACAAACAUCUUCACUGAAGGGGAUUUUUAGGUUUAUUUUCUCUUUUUGCAGAAACCAUACUUCCUCUCUGAAACGUCAGAAAGGAAUAACUUGUAGAAGCAGCAGGAAGGACACAGGAUUGGACCAAGGCUGCAGUGGUGGAGACUGGAUGUGCUGAUAUUUAUGCCCUGUGUGAUAGCUGGGCAAACAGCACAGUGAAACAACUAGAAGAAAUGUGGAUUAUAUUUUGCACACUGUUUGAUCAACUAUCAGUUUUCAACUAUCAGUACAGGAACAUUUGUUUCCAAUCCCACUUUUUGUUUUUUGUUCAGUUUCUCAAGACAGAUGUUGUGAAAUAUAAAAUAGAAGUAGUUUUGGUUUGUGUGAAGUGUCCCUCUUAAUAGUGUUAAACUGCUACUUAGUGUUUAACCACUAGUGCUACCUUCACUGUAACAAUGGAAACUUGAGGCAAACACCAGGGCAUCCUUCUCUGCAGUGAUGUUGUCUAAUUCCUUUCUAAGUCUUCCCAUAAGUAAUAUACCAGAAAAGUACAUCUGAAUUGUUUUUCUCUUCUUCUUUUACUUAUUCUUGUGUUUAAUCCUUUUGCAAUAGCAUGACUGGUGUCACUUGUUCACUUUGAAAUGGAAGAACAUUUCUCUCUUCCACGCUGAUAGUCUCUGCCUUUUAUUUGCAGAGGUUUCUACCCAGUGUUUGGAUGGUUCCACUCUGAAAUUUUUUUUCUGUCUUCUUCUUUGUUGUGAACCUGGUUCCAAUUUCUGCCUAUCUCUCCCUUGCUACCUUUGACCUUUUCCUCUCUCUUUCUCUCCCUCUCUUCUUUGUCCAUGUUGGCAAUAGUCUUUGGUUUGUACUCUUUUAUGAAUCUUCUGCUUCUUUUCAUUUCAGCCCUCUGGACCUGAUUUGCAGCUGCUGUGUUCUUCCUGCAGCCGCUUACACAUGUGCAGCACAGGUGUAAAAUGCCAC